rnacentral:rRNA from 1 species
AGUCGAGAAUCAUUCGCAAUGGGCGAAAGCCUGACGAUGCGACGCCGUGUGAGCGAAGAAGGCCUUAGGGUCGUAAAGCUCUUUCGCCUGGGAACAAGAGAAGUCGGCUAAUAUCCGGCGGAUUUGAGGGUACUAGGUAAAGAAGCACCGGCUAACUCCGUGCCAGCAGCUGCGGUAAUACGGAGGGUGCAAGCAUUAAUCGGAUUUAUUGGGCGUAAAGGGCGCGUAGGCGGGGAUAAUAGUCAGAUGUGAAAUCCUGGGGCUCAACCUCAGAACUGCAUUUGAAACUGUAUCUCUCGAGGGUAGGCGGAGAAAACGGAAUUCCACAAGUAGCGGUGAAAUGCGUAGAUAUGUGGAAGAACACCGGUGGCGAAGGCGGUUUUCUAGCUUAUUCCUGACGCUGAGGCGCGAAAGCAAGGGGAUCAAACAGGAUUAGAUACCCUGGUAGUCCUUGCUGUAAACGAUGUAUACUUGGUGUAGCCGGACUCAACCCUGGCUGUGCCGGAGCUAACGCGUUAAGUAUACCGCCUGGGGAGUACAGUCGCAAGGCUGAAACUCAAAAGAAUUGACGGGGACCCGCACAAGCAGUGGAGCAUGUGGUUUAAUUCGAUGCUACGCGAAGAACCUUACCCAGGCUUGACAUGCAGCGGACCGGUCCAGAAAUGGGCCUUUCCUUCGGGACUGCUGCACAGGUGCUGCAUGGCUGUCGUCAGCUCGUGCCGUGAGGUGUUGGGUUAAGUCCCGCAACGAGCGCAACCCUUAUCAUUAGUUGCCAACAUUUAAGGUGGGAACUCUAAUGAGACUGCCCGGGUUAACCGGGAGGAAGGUGAGGAUGACGUCAAGUCCGCAUGGCCCUUAUGCCUGGGGCUACACACGUGCUACAAUGGUCGGUACAGAAGGCAGCAAGACCGUAAGGUGGAGCAAAUCCCGAAAGCCGGCCUCAGUUCAGAUUGUAGUCUGCAACUCGACUACAUGAAGACGGAAUUGCUAGUAAUGGCGAGUCAGCAACAUCGCCGUGAAUACGUUCCCGGGUCUUGUACACACCGCCCGUCACAUCAUGGGAGUUGGUUUUACCCGAAUCCGCUGGCUUAACCGCAAGGGGAGAGGCGUGUAAGGUAAGGCUGAUGACUGGGAUG